rnacentral:rRNA from 1 species
UACGGAGGAUUCAAGCGUUAUCCGGAUUUAUUGGGUUUAAAGGGUGCGUAGGCGGACGCUUAAGUCAGCGGUCAAAUCGUGGGGCUCAACCCCAUCCAGCCGUUGAAACUGGGGAUCUAGAGUGUGCGAGAGGUAUGCGGAAUGCGUGGUGUAGCGGUGAAAUGCAUAGAUAUCACGCAGAACCCCGAUUGCGAAGGCAGCAUACCGGUGCACAACUGACGCUCAGGCACGAAAGCGUGGGGAGCGAACAGG